CCACUUCUUUUUUUGUUUUGGUCUCGGUUUGGGGCAUGAGAAAAUUUGGGUUUAUGGGCCAUCUGUUUUUGGGUAAUUAACAUGUUCAUAUGGCUAAUUGCACCGUGCUAACUUUUUAUAAUGCGCACUGACACAGUCUUAUGAUUUUCGGAUGUCGGUCUUAAUAGUAAUAGACGAGAUGAGAAAUCAUGGACAAACUUUAGCUAGAAAGUGAGAAUCUCUGUGCAAAGGUAAGACUAAAAUAGUAUAAAAAUAAAUGUAAGUUUCUUUAUUUUAGUGUAUGCAGUAAUGUAUGAUCAUUCGUCACUAUCAAACGCAACAUCUUUUCGAACAAACAACUCAAUUUUCAACCUCAACACACUUUCAAUUUCAAAACCACAAUUAUCAGCCGACUAAUAUCAUAACACAAUUAUUAGUUGGCAGACAAUCGCCUGAAAGAUCCUCAUAAUUAUCAAAGGCAAAUUGCGUGCCAUUCCGACAUAAAACACAAACCUCUAAAAAUUAUAUUAUUGUUGGAAAUAAAUUUAAAUACGCUGCAAUUUUUACUUUCCAAUUCGAUAAAUUUGGCGCACGCAGCUAAGCGAAUUGCGUGCCAUAUAUCUUUGAAUCUUUGCCAUGGCCAAGAUAUAUACUUCAGGUAGGAGGUAAGUUCGGCCCACAUCGUCGAAGGCAGAGAUUUAUUUACUCGGCUUUGUUGAUGGACAGUAGCGAACAAUCAAGAGAACCGCCAAAAAAUAUUACAAUUUCGAUUUGAAGAAAGACUUUGGGUGUUUGCAAAAAGAUUUGCAUUUGUCAGACUUUGUUACUCAACUUUACCGUGAAAUUUCAUUGACAGCGCCGCCACACGCCCAAAAACCUUUCCACGCUCAUCAUCCGUCCAAAAUUCAAGCCUUUGUUGAACUCAUCAUCAGGCCAAACUCUUGUAAUUUUUGUGCAAUUUUUCUCCCUUUUCAGCUGUCACUGGGCAUUUCAAUGGCGCCAAUAUAGCAAAGCACACAAAAGCCUUAAAUGCGCGUAUUUCUGCCAACUCUUGUCUUUCGCACUUGUAUUUACUUUAGUGACUUCAGAGCCAUCGAGUUGGGAUUGUUUGUCCACUCAUUUCCAUGGGCUGUCACUUGAAUUGAGCGCCUCGAUUUCAAUUGAUGCAAAGUCUUAAGGUUUUGUCGCGUUUGUCUGUUUGAAAUAUAUGGGUCAGGCCAGUGUUUGGUUAGAUGGUCUAUGGGCAAACACAUCAUUUAUACUGGUUUUGACCUUGGCCAACAAUUCAGGUUGGCGAUUUGUGGGAAAAGUGUGAAGCUAUAAGGUCGUGAUGAGUUUUGGCUGCUUUGAUAUAUACAUAUCCAGCUGCUUUGGUAAUCUUCCGUCACUCAACUCCAUCCAAUUAGGCAUUCCCCAGUCAACCUUCCACCCACUCUGCCACUCAAAUACUCUAGACGCCUUAGAUCUUUCUAGCGAUCCAACUUAACGCUUGUCUAAUGCUUUAAUUACAUAUUAGCAUUGCCUCAGAUUCCCAGACAUGCGAUUGCAUUUGGAGCCUCUAGACUCCUCCACACCAUAUCAUUUGUCAAACGGGCCGCCAUUGUUUUGCCGCGGAAUGGAAAGGAAUUAGACUUUUGAUUUUCAGUUGGAAUUCAUAAUUUAUGGGUUAGCAGUGCGCCAGUUCCGAAUGCUUUGGAUUCGAAAGUGAAGUUCUUAUAAUUUUAAUUACAUUCAGCAGCCAGUGGAGGAACCAAUUAAGUCGUUUUCUGAUUAUAUCGGAGCAACUCGUUGGUCUUGACUCGCCAAAUGCUCACAUUGCUGGGUCUCGUGCCAGGUUUUUUGGUCACGCAAGCUCACUCAUUCCGAGAAAUGAGCACCAUGCAAAUUAAGUAGGGUUAAGAGGGGGUCGCCAGGUCUACGGUCUGUGGUCUAUGGUCUGGCAAAUGUUUCAAAUUGCCACCGACUUGGAAUAGGUUGGGAGUCGGUAAACUGUGUUGCUGCAGUUCGUGACAGUUUUUAGCAAUUACCCGGAUGGGCCGGAACGCGACAAAGUCGGCGACCCAUCUGGCCGGUCUGCUGACCAUUGUUUAGCGGUUAGUAACCCCACAUGGAGUUCACCAGCAAGUCCCUCAGAUUUCUAAAAAGUUUUCUGGGACUACCAUCCCCCGCUUGAUCGAUGGCCGUUCAAAAUUUCAACACCCCAGCCAACCCACACCCAUAUGGGGUUUUUCUUUUGUAUGUAUGGGUAUGGGUAUAUGUUUCUUAAAAAAAUCGAAAGCUCAAUGCAUUUCGCCUUGCAUGCCCAAUUGAUGCACUCAAAUGCGCAGCCCAAGCCAAAGCCGCAGUGAAAUGAGAAGAAGAAAAAGUACCGAAAACCGCCGAGCAAAUUAAAAUUUAUUAUUUGCAACAAAACGAAACACUUUGGAGUGCCGAAGAGGCGAAUGGAAAAUGCAACUGAAAUGCCAGCUAUGGAACUUCUGCGGUGCACAAAAUCACCGAAGCUUGCGAAAAGUGUUUUUCUUUUACUGCAACUCUUGUUCAGUUUUCUUCACUGCAAGCCGACAACGAACCGAAAGUGGCUGAAAGAGGCUGAAUGCUGUGUGUUGUAUAUUGUACAUUGUAUAUUGUAUGUGGUAUACUGUACUGUAGUGGGGUAUUCGGUCUGUCGGUGGCGAUAAUGUGGCAUGAAGCAGCCAACUGUAGUGCGAAGUGGGUUUGGGUUGCUGCAAGUUGGGGGCGUGUUUGAACCUGACAGGCACUAAGCAGAGUAUCUCCUCCACGGGGGCUUUGACUUCCUGCCCAGGGAACCUUCAACAAAAAAAAGUUAAAAAGGUGCCCAAGGAGUUGCAUCAGUGUAAUGUAUAUAUGACAACCUUGGCCCUAUACGCCUUUAAUUCAGUAUCAAUUUUAAAAUAAUUUAAAAACUCCUUAGUCUAAUUUUUAUAAAAAUUUGUAGCUUAAAAAUUACUGUGUGGACUUUUUAUAGCUAUUGCUUAAUUUUUGUUGUACUUAAAUGACUAUAAAAAUUCAAAAUAGUUUAGUGAGCACUGCCAACACUAACAUUAAAGCUUUAACUUUAACACUUUAAUGUUUACAAUCAUUAACUUUUUUAAAUUAUAAGAUAAAAUCUCUAUUAAAUCACAAGCCCAAGGACAUCCUUUUCGGCUUUCUUGACAAUUCUUAAAGCGCCUUCAAACUUCAGUUUCCCAUAACCUCUGACCUUUUGCUGCCCAACCCGAGAGAUUUUUGCAUGCGUACCAGAGAAAAGUAAAAUUGUUAUCUGCACUUUUCCAUUACACCAUGCCGAACCACAAAAAUGUCAUUAAAUAAUUUCGCUGCGCAUUUGCAGAAAUAAAUAGCAAAUCGAUGGACAAGUUUUCGGUGCUUUGGGGCAAAGCAGGCGGCUCAAAAACUGUGACUCCCACCUCGCCAGGCGAAAAAAGGAAAACACACACACAAAUUAUGCAACUGGCAACUCUUCGUCGGCUUGCAACAUCUCUGGCCAGACCAAUCCCAACCAGUUGCAGAUGCAGCAGCAGCAGUGGCUUGUUGAAAAUCUUGUUUUGGAACUACACAAAGGCCCAACAACCAACAACCAACAACCAACAGCCAGCAAACAGCAACAAUAAGAAAAACGAAAGUGCAGCAACAUUUUGCCAUAACGGGUUGCCCAGUUUGAACCGCCGUUGGGCUUGGCUGUUGCUAUUACUAUUGCAUUACGUGCGGUUGGUUCCUCGCCGAGGAUCGUUUGACUUUUGUCCAUAUUUGCGUUGAGUUAUGCACCGAAAGAAGAUGCAGCUGAAAAAACCCGUUUCACGUGGCGUAUGAGUAACGCGGAAGUUGACACUUGCUGCACUUGGUACUGUCGGUACUGUUGGUACUGCCUUGGCACAACGGCGGCGGUGGGUGAAAAUUGCCUUGAUAUAUUUACUGCACAUACCUCGACUAAUUGCGGCAUUCGUCAGGCGACUUGCCUCCACCACCAAUUCCUAUUUGUCGUCGCAUUUGCAAUUAGGCAACAAAAAGCUAUGACAAAUCCCAUUUUGUUUUCUGCACCUCUGAUUUUUUGGUUGACCAAAUCAAGCGACUUUUAAUGACCCGGCAGAAGAUGUGGCAUCGUCAUCCGGCCAGCCUGUCAAUAUCCGGCGAUGAGUUAUGUCGCCGAGCCCUUUUACUUUCUUUUCCCCCAAUCUCGGACAUCAUUUUAAUGAUCCCCACAGCUGGCAUGUGAAAUUAUUGCUUACAAGUAAUACCAUUUUUAUUUUUCACUAAGCCAAUUUCUGACGAUCGUUUCCAUGAAACUAUGCGGAAUCAAGCCUGCGGUUUACUGACCAUGUUAAUGGCUUAAUAAUUGAGAAGUUGGCUUGGGCAAUGAGGAACUAUAGAAAGCGGAAGAUGCUCUGAGCCCCUAUAUACGAGAAUCAGCGGGAGGUCUGCGAUUCUUGGAAGAAAUUUGCAAUCAACUUUUACUUAACUUACGUUCUAAUUUGCUUGUUAAGUGGGUCAAAGAACUAGAAAGACUAAGUUAUUACAAAAGGAAAAGAAUCGAUGUAUAUAACGUAUCUAGCGAAUAAUUGUCACUCAAGAAAUACUAUUUCUCAAGAAGUUGCAAGGUGAUGUGAAUUUAGCAUCUAGAGUAUACACAUUUGCAUCAACAAAAGUGAAAGCAAGGCAAAGGC